rnacentral:ribozyme from 14 species
AGAGAAAAGAGAGAGAGAAGGGUGGUUCUUUUUUUUUUUUGGAAGGACAGAAGUUUUUUUUUUUUUUUUCUUCUUCUUCC